GUCUGCGCUGGUCACGGCACACGGGACGUCUUGUGCACCACGAGGUUUCCUAAACCGUGUGUCGCAGGUUCGAUUCCUGCCGGGG
rnacentral:tRNA from 1 species